rnacentral:rRNA from 1 species
CGUUCGGAUUGUAGUCUGCAACCCGACUACAUGAAGCUGGAAUCGCUAGUAAUCGCAGGUCAGCAUACUGCGGUGAAUACGUUCCCGGGUCUUGUACACACCGCCCGUCACACCAUGGGAGCCGGAAAUGCCCGAAGCCAGUGACCCAACCUUAGGGAGGGAGCUGUCGAAGGUAGAGCCGGUAACUGGGGUGAAGUCGUAACAAGGUACC